GGCUGUCGAAUGCCUAAUAGAUGCGGGUCGCAUGGUGCGCCAUGGAAAGCUCGUCUUUCCUGCUACUUACCGGCGGGCGGCUGACCCAUACGUAGGCCCACUGCCCUCACGCUUGGCACAACUACCGAAAACGGCACUAAUACCUAAUACUUGUUUUCUUGUCCUGAAUAGAACUGGAAAGACGGAGCAAUCUGCCACUUGGGGAUGGGCCUGCGGCGCAUUCCCUAUUUGGUGAGGUAACGGCUCACCAAGGCGACGAUGCGUAGCCGACCUGAGAGGGUGAUCGGCCACACUGGGACUGACCCACGGCCAACCCUUCUACGGGAGGCAGCAGUAGGGAAUCUUCCGCAAUGGGCGAAAGCCUGACGGAGCAAUGCCGCGUGAGUGAUGAAGGUUUUCGGAUCGUAAAGCUCUGUUGCCAGGGAAAAACGCUUGGGAGAGUAACUGCUCUCAAGGUGACGGUACCUGAGAAGAAAGCCCCGGCUAACUACGUGCCAGCAGCCGCGGUAAUACGUAGGGGGCAAGCGUUGUCCGGAAUUAUUGGGCGUAAAGCGCGCGCAGGCGGUCAUGUAAGUCUGGUGUUUAAUCCCGGGGCUCAACCCCGGAUCGUACUGGAAACUGUGUGACUUGAGUGCAGAAGAGGAGAGUGGAAUUCCACGUGUAGCGGUGAAAUGCGUAGAGAUGUGGAGGAACACCAGUGGCGAAGGCGACUCUCUGGGCUGUUACUGACGCUGAGGCGCGAAAGCGUGGGGAGCAAACAGGAUUAGAUACCCUGGUAGUCCACGCCGUAAACGAUGAGUGCUAGGUGUUACG
rnacentral:rRNA from 1 species